CGGGGGGAGCAAGCGUUGUUCGGAUUUACUGGGCGUAAAGGGCGCGUAGGCGGCCACCGCAAGUCGACUGUGAAAUCUCCGGGCUUAACCCGGAAAGGUCAGCCGAUACUGCGGGGCUAGAGUGCAGAAGGGGCAACUGGAAUUCUCGGUGUAGCGGUGAAAUGCGUAGAUAUCGAGAGGAACACCUGCGGCGAAGGCGGGUUGCUGGGCUGACACUGACGCUGAGGCGCGAAAGCUAGGGGAGCGAACGGGAUUAGAUACCCCGGUAGUCCUAGCCUUAAACGAUGAAUGCUUGGUGUCUGGGGUUUUAUAGUCCCCGGGUGCCGUCGCUAACGCUUUAAGCAUUCCGCCUGGGGAGUACGGUCGCAAGACUG
rnacentral:rRNA from 1 species